rnacentral:tRNA from 1 species
GGGUGUGUGGUCUAGUGGUAUGAUUCUCGCUUUGGGUGUGAGAGGUCCUGGGUUCAAUUCCCAGUAUGCCCC